rnacentral:misc_RNA from 1 species
CAUGAGUUGCAAAACUCCCAACCAUUGUGAACCUACCUCAUCGUUGCUUCGGCGGGGCCGAGGCACCUCAGCGGCCUCGCGCCGGCACCCCUCUCGGGGGGCAGGCAGCCCGCUCAGAGGCCCGAAACCCUAGUACAUACAUUGGCCUCUCUGAGUAACUUAUACAAUAAGUCA